ACUGGGGCAAUCAGCCCCCACCUGAUGCCAGGCAGGGUGCAAAGCAGGAUGUCAGAACCUGGAGCCUCCUUAUUGAUAGCCUUGCUGAGCUUGUAAACUGUUCCCUGGUACCGUACGCCAGCAUAUAGCAUCCUGCCCUCAUAAAGCUCUACUUAUCUCCAUCCAACUUCUUGGGCUGAGCGUGUGGGAAGCAUGUGAGGGACACUCAUGAGCAGCCUUGCAUUCUCCGAGCUGUGCUUUCCCCUGGGGGUGAGCAUUCCCCUAAGUGCACAGUCCAUUUCAGCUCUGAUAAGUCUUCAGAGGUGAUGGCCUGGAACCUGCAGAGCUGGUGGUGAGAAGGCAUACUUGACCUCUGGCCACGUCCAUCCAAUCUGACAGACUGGUCUUCGGAGAAUGGUGACCAAGAAUAAGCUCCAUGUCCCACAUGCCACCUGUUCAUCUGCACCGCUCCCUCUCCAGCAGCUCAUGGGCCAUGCCCAGCCUAUGUGUGACACCUCUCUGGCUGCUCAGAUGGAAAGUAAGAGCUUGGAGAGUGAGGACAGCAUGGAGUUAUGGAAGACAUGGCUACAAGAGCAUUCUUUCUCCAUCUCCAUGUGCUUCUGAAGGACCAGUCUGAUUCUGGCUCCUGCCAAGUUAGGAUAUGCUAUGAUUCUGUGAACACUUUUUGCAGCAAGUCAGCCAUAAGAAACAACAUACUCUCAGACAAUCAAGCCUCCAAAUUAAGGUGGGGAGACUUGUUGUGAAGGAGAUGGUUUUUUUUUUCCUACUGUAGAAGGGAUGUUCAAUGCUAUAGUGACAAGGAACAAUUCUUCAGCCUUAGACAGCAGAAAGAAGAAACAUAAAGAGACUGUACAGUUCUUGGGACACCGAGACAACUAUCUACGUGCUUUGUGGAAGCAGAGACAAGUAUGAGAUUUGGCUUUCUGGGCUAUGAGGGCACACAGCUGGCUCACAUCCAGCUCCCAUCCACCAUUUAGAUAAGAUACUAUUGCUUUUAAUAAAGACAAGUCAAAGAUCUUCUCCUAAGUGCUCUUAAAGAACUCCAGCAUUGUGUCUACAAUAAUCCAUCCGCCUUAAAGGAUCCAGCAGUACAUCACCACCAGUGGAUAUAAGAAGUAAUUAGUCAUCAUUUAGGGAAGUAAGAUUUAACAGUUAUUUUGUUGGCAGAAGUGCCGUGAUAAAAAUGGUACUCUGAAAGUUAUUUGGUAUUUCUCAUUGUUGCCAGAGUUCUGAACAUUUUGAUAGGAUGAACAUAGACUUCGGUAGGAAAG
ensembl:lncRNA